CCAGGAUCAGGCUCCCCCUGCAAGGGGACGAUGCAAAGAAGGACAGCACCCGGCGUCACGUAACCCAGCCUUCUCAGGCUCCACCACCGCCUUUUCCUUC
rnacentral:sRNA from 2 species